rnacentral:tRNA from 1 species
GUUAUUAUAGUGUAAAUCUAACACACUACAUUUUCGUUGUAGGGAUAAAGACUGUCUUUUAAUAAUA